AGAGUUUGAUUAUGGCUCAGGAUGAACGCUGGCGGCGUGCCUAACACAUGCAAGUCGAACGGACUUACACAGAAGCAGGAGAUGCUUGCAUUGACUAACGGAAGUGUAAGUUAGUGGCGGACGGGUGAGUAACGCGUGGGCAACCUGCCCCAUACCGGGGGAUAACACCUGGAAACAGGUGCUAAAACCGCAUAAGCGCACAGCUUCGCAUGAAGGUGUGUGAAAAACUCCGGUGGUAUGGGAUGGGCCCGCGUCUGAUUAGCUGGUUGGCGGGGUAACGGCCCACCAAGGCGACGAUCAGUAGCCGGCCUGAGAGGGUGGACGGCCACAUUGGGACUGAGACACAGCCCAAACUCCUACGGGAGGCAGCAGUGGGGAAUAUUGGACAAUGGGGGAAACCCUGAUCCAGCGACGCCGCGUGAGUGAAGAAGUAUUUCGGUACGUAAAGCUCUAUCAGCAGGAAAGAAAAUGACGGUACCUGACUAAGAAGCCCCGGCUAACUACGUGCCAGCAGCCGCGGUAAUACGUAGGGGGCAAGCGUUAUCCGGAUUUACUGGGUGUAAAGGGAGCGU
rnacentral:rRNA from 1 species